UGUCCCCGGAGCUGGAGCCCGGUUUGGCCCAAUGCUCAGAGAAACGAAGCAACUCAAUAAAAACUUUUGAUAUUAGUUUUUAUGGGUCUUUACACUCUGGUGAGGGGAGCCGAGUACGGAAGCUCCAUUAAUCAGCCCUCAACCUUGGGUUUGGAUACUCAGUUUAU
ensembl:misc_RNA